UACGUAGGUGGCAAGCGUUGUCCGGAUUUACUGGGCGUACAGGGCGUGCAGGCGGUUUGUCUAGUCUAGGGUGAAAGCUCCCGGCUUAACUGGGAGAGGUCCUUGGAUACUGGCAAACUUGAGGGAGGCAGAGGAAAGUGGAAUUCCCGGUGUAGUGGUGAUAUGCGUAGAUAUCGGGAGGAACACCAGUGGCGAAGGCGGCUUUCUGGGCCUUACCUGACGCUGAGACGCGAAAGCGUGGGGAGCGAACCGG
rnacentral:rRNA from 1 species